rnacentral:rRNA from 1 species
CCUACGGUGGCUGCAGUGGGGAAUAUUGGACAAUGGACGAAAGCCUGAUCCAGCCAUGCCGCGUGUGUGAAGAAGGCCUUCGGGUUGUAAAGCACUUUCAGUGGGGAAGAAAGCCUUGGGGCUAAUACCCUCGAGGAAGGACAUCACCCACAGAAGAAGCACCGGCUAACUCCGUGCCAGCAGCCGCGGUAAUACGGAGGGUGCGAGCGUUAAUCGGAAUUACUGGGCGUAAAGCGCGCGUAGGCGGUCUGAUAAGCCGGUUGUGAAAGCCCCGGGCUCAACCUGGGAACGGCAUCCGGAACUGUCAGGCUAGAGUGCAGGAGAGGAAGGUAGAAUUCCCGGUGUAGCGGUGAAAUGCGUAGAGAUCGGGAGGAAUACCAGUGGCGAAGGCGGCCUUCUGGACUGACACUGACGCUGAGGUGCGAAAGCGUGGGUAGCAAACAGGAUUAGAUACCCCGGUAGUC